UGAAGACUGGAAAGCACUUGUUCUGCAGGGAAACUGAAAACUUAAUGAAGACUUCAUCUUCUCUGAGCUUUAUGUACAGUUUGUUAACAUAUAUGCACCGUGAAAUUUGUGAAACUCAGGCUUCCCAAGCACCUGCUUCGGUGAAUCCUCAUUUAUUUGUCAGCCUCAAGUGCUGGGACUCCCUAUGCUGAAUAGACCUUUUAAAGAUUUCUGAUUUGUCAUGAAAACAGAAGAGAGGAGUGAUCACAGGAGAGGCUGUGUGUGAAUAUGAAAGCAAGGAAAUAGCUGGCAAGAGCUUAAAUACUGGUUGUGAAACUAAAUAUAAAAUCUGAUAAAGAACUCUGAGCCACAGCAGGGCUGUCUGGAGCUACUAACUAUAGGGUACUCUGAGAGAAAAGAUCUGAAACCUGGAUGAGUGCCAUUACAAAGAUGCCAUAUGCAGUAGGAACAGCAUUCAGAGUGACUUGCCAAGACUCAAGGGACAUGAUUAAGGCUAGAAUUUCAGUCAGACCAUGAACUGCUGAGAAAAACAUGUGUUAAAUGAUUGGUUCAGUGUUACCAUUGUUUGUGAGAGGUUUUUCAUCAAAAUGAGUCAACCAGGCAUAUAGUUUUGCUGAUUGACAACUAUGUAACAUCUGCUAAAUAUUAUUUGAUGAAAAAAGGAUAAAUUCAUAGUAUACA